rnacentral:rRNA from 1 species
AUGCAGGCUUCCCGCGGUUAGACGGAAAGACCCCGUGCACCUUUACUACAGCUUCAGACUGGCAUCAGGCAUGCGAUGUGCAGGAUAGGUGGUGGGCUUUGAAGCGGGGACGUCAGUCCCCGUGGAGCCACCCUUGAGAUACCACCCUUCGCCUGCUUGAUGUCUAACCGCGGUCCGUGAUCCGGAUCCGGGACCCUCUGUGGCGGGUAGUUUGACUGGGGCGGUCGCCUCCCAAAGAGUAACGGAGGCGCGCGAAGGUUGGCUCAGAGCGGUCGGAAAUCGCUCGUUGAGUGCAAUGGCAGAAGCCAGCCUGACUGCGAGACUGACAGGUCGAGCAGAGUCGAAAGACGGCCAUAGUGAUCCGGUGGUCCCGCGUGGAAGGGCCAUCGCUCAACGGAUAAAAGGUACGCCGGGGAUAACAGGCUGAUGGUGCCCAAGAGUCCAUAUCGACGGCACCGUUUGGCACCUCGAUGUCGGCUCAUCUCAUCCUGGGGCUGAAGCAGGUCCCAAGGGUACGGCUGUUCGCCGUUUAAAGAGGUACGUGAGCUGGGUUUAGAACGUCGUGAGACAGUUCGGUCCCUAUCUGCCGUGGGUGUAGGAGACUUGAGAGGAGUUGCCCCUAGUACGAGAGGACCGGGGUGAACGAUCCACUGGUGGACCUGUUGUGGCGCCAGCCGCAGUGCAGGGUAGCUAUGAUCGGAAAGGAUAACCGCUGAAGGCAUCUAAGCGGGAAGCCCCCCUCGAAACAAGGUAUCCCUGAGGGCCGUGCAAGACCAGCACGUCGAUAGGCCGGAUGUGCAAGCGCAGCAAUGCGUUCAGCUGACCGGUACUAAUUGCCCGAUAGGCUUGAUUUGAUCCAG